rnacentral:rRNA from 1 species
UARUAACGGCGAGUGAAGAGGGAAGAGCUCAAAUUUGAAAUCUGGCGGUCUCAGGCCGUCCGAUUUGUAAUCUAGAGAGGUGUUUUCCGUGCCGGACCGUGUACAAGUCCCUUGGAACAGGGCGUCAUAGAGGGUGAGAAUCCCGUCCAUGACACGGACUCCCGGUGCUCUGUGAUACACCUUCAAAGAGUCGAGUUGUUUGGGAAUGCAGCUCAAAAUGGGUGGUAAAUUCCAUCUAAAGCUAAAUACAGGCGAGAGACCGAUAGCGAACAAGUACCGUGAGGGAAAGAUGAAAAGAACUUUGGAAAGAGAGUUAAACAGUACGUGAAAUUGUUGAAAGGGAGACGCUUGAAGUCAGUCGCGUCUGCCGGGACUCAGCCUUGCUUUUGCUUGGUGCACUUCUCGGUGGAUGGGCCAGCAUCGAUUUUGAUCGCCGGAAAAGGGUGGGAGGAAUGUGGCAGCUUGCUGUGUUAUAGCCUCCUAUCGUACACGGUGGUUGGGAUCGAGGAUUGCAGCACGCCUUUGGUCGGGGUUCGCCCACGCCACGUGCUUA